GGAUUGCCCUAGUAACGGCGAGUGAAGCGGCAACAGCUCAAAUUUGAAAUCUGGCUCUUUCAGGGUCCGAGUUGUAAUUUGUAGAGGGUGCUUUGGAGUUGACUGUGGUCUAAGUUCCUUGGAACAGGACGUCGCAGAGGGUGAGAAUCCCGUAUGUGGCCGCCAGUGUUCGCCGUGUAAAGCCCCUUCGACGAGUCGAGUUGUUUGGGAAUGCAGCUCUAAAUGGGAGGUAAAUUUCUUCUAAAGCUAAAUAUUGGCCAGAGACCGAUAGCGCACAAGUAGAGUGAUCGAAAGAUGAAAAGCACUUUGGAAAGAGAGUCAAAAAGCACGUGAAAUUGUUGAAAGGGAAGCGCUUGCAGCCAGACUUGCCUGUAGUUGCUCAUCCGGGCUUUUGCCCGGUGCACUCUUCUAUAGGCAGGCCAGCAUCAGUCCUGGCGGUCGGAUAAAUGCCUGCUGAA
rnacentral:rRNA from 1 species